AGUUGGAAACUGUGAAUAGAUUUGGCAUUG
rnacentral:piRNA from 1 species